rnacentral:lncRNA from 1 species
AAACCCUCGAUAAGAUACAACUGCACACCCACUAGAUUGGCUAAAAUUAAAAAGAAUGAAAACUUUGACGGUUGGCAAGUAUAUGGAGCAAGAGGACCUUUCAUAGACUGCUUGAGGGAGUAUAGAUUGGCACAAUCAUUCUGGAAAACUGCUUGACAAUAUUUACUAAAGCUAAAUAUACACAGACUUUGUGACCAAGCAGUUCCACUCUUAGGUGAUUGCCCAGUAGAAAUCUGUACAUGUAUUCACUGAAAGUCAAGUUCCAGAACAUUCAAAGCAGUGUUCUUUGUAGUAGCCCCAAACUUCAAACAAUCCAAAUUGUGAAUAAUGCUGCUAGGAACAUGAGUGUACAAAUAUCUGUUUGAGUCUCUGCUUUCAGUUCUUUUUCUUUUUCUUCUUCUUCUUCUUCUUUUUUUUUUUUUUUUUGAGACAGAGUCUUGCUCUGUCAUCCAGGCUGGAGUGCUGUGAAUAAUGCUGCUAGGAACAUGAGUGUACAAAUAUCUGUUUGAGUCUCUGCUUUCAGUUCUUUUUCUUUUUCUUCUUCUUCUUUUUUUUUUUUUUUGAGACAGAGUCUUGCUCUGUCAUCCAGGCUGGAGUGCAGUGGCAUGAUCUUGGCUUACUACAACCUCUGCCUCCUGGGUUCAAGCGAUUUUUGUGCCUUAGCCUCCCGAGUAGCUGGGACUUCAGGACUGUGCCACCAUGCUCUGCUAAUUUUUGUAUUUUUUGUAGAGACAGGGUUUUCCCAUGUUGGCCAGGCUGGUCUUGAACUGCUGGCCUCAAGUGAUCCGCCCACCUUGACUUCUCAAACUGCUGGGAUCAUAGGCAUGAGCCACCACGCCCCCGCCUGCUUUCAGUUCUUUUGGGUAUAUACCCAGAAGAACUGGAUUGCUGGAUCAUAUGGUAAUUCUGUUUAAUUUUUGGGGAACUGCCACACUUGGGUAUUCUUGUAUUUUAGAAACUUCUUGGUUUUAAUUUCUUCUGUAGAUAUAAUCUACAUAAACAACUAUUGGGAUCCUCAGUAAUUCAAGAACUACUUUAAUGAACUGUAUUAUCAAGGAGAGGGUUGAAGCAGCCAUUGUCAGUGAGUGUAGAAAGUGAUAACGUGGGUGAGUUGGGUGACAUACUCUUUUGCUCUCAAGUGACCCAGUUUGGGUGAUAUAUUAUAUGGCCCCCCUAGUAAUGGAGUUCAUAUUAGGCAGAUGGUCACACUUGGUAAUGAGGUCGCCUUAGUGUUGGUGUUCCUGUGGAGCUCCCUGAACUCGCAAACUUUAAUCUUCCUAUGAUGGCCAACCUUGGUGGACCAAGGUUUAGAAUGAAAGAAAUUGCUUUGGAGACUACAUAUCUCUUUUGAGAUUUGACAUACUUACCAAAAUGAGUAAUGAUUCUGACGUUCUUCCAGUGUUAUUUGAAAUUCAACAUGAAACUUUUCCUACAUGUUUCUUUGUUAAAAAUGUUGAGUAAAUUUUGAGACAAAAUGUACAUUUUUUUCAUAUAAACAUUGAAACCAUCAUGUUGAGGAUUACAUGCAUUCUGUGAAGUUUGUGUAUUAACAAUCCGUGUAUGUCUUCCCAGGAAAAUGUUAACUGCAGAGGGUUUCCAACUGUGUUGGCUUGAUCCGGUCCUUUCCCCUCUGGCUUGCAGAACAUAACACUUCCUCCCUAAGUGAGGCAGCAUGAAGCCCCAUCCAGUUACUACUAUUGUGAGUGGCUCAGAGUUCAGCAUCACAGUUUAAUGCCCAGUAGUCUCCUUCUUAGGUCUAGUGACUGUGCACCAAAGGGUUAUCUGUCCUCCCUUUCCCCUCCAACUGCAUUUGUGGAAGAGGAACAGGAUGGAGUAGGGCAGAAUAACCAAAAUAAGCUUUCCUAUUCUGACAAGGAAAGAAUGGGGAGACAAGACACAGUAGUGUCUUGGCUCACCUCUCUCCUGAGUGGAAAUUGGACUAAGAUCUCUGGGCGCGUAGAUGGAGUCUUUUGCCCGGUAGACCUCAUUUUAGGGCGAAUGGGUAGAAAGGAAAGACCCCCCCCCCCGCCCCCGCCACCAAAUCCAAGAAUUGGGAGAGUUCCAUUCUAGCGCUCAAUAUUCAUGCUGGAAGCUUAAAUUAACCCAGAUGGUCUGUUUGGUUUAUUUAAAGAUAAAACUAGUUUUGAGCCUGGAGGAAUAGCCACGUUCUCUGCAGGUGAGUCUGGGAAUAGAGCUUGUAAUUUGCAUAGUUGUUUCAGUGUACAGACCUUCAAUUUCUGUUACAAUCCCUAGUUCUUGCUCUCAUCCACUAUCCCGUUUGCCAGAUAUUGGUCUGGAGCUUCUCCAGGGUUUCAGAGGGCAGACGCUCCUUCUUCCUCCAGAGCCUUCCUGAAGUACACUCUUGGCUGCAUUUUCUGUUUUGUUUCAUCCAUCUUAGCUCUUCAGACUAUUUUGUCAUCCAGAAAUUUGCUGAAAUCUCACAUCCACUGGUGAUGCCUGUCCCCUGCUGUUUCUAAGGCCAUAGUGUCCUUCCUUGCUGUACUUACUGACAUUCAUUUCAUUGGGAUAUUGGGGCCCAAAGCAUGGGCUUUAUCUCCUAUCUUCUGCAGGAAGUUCCAAGUUGUGUGUUUUGCUUUUUGUGUUUUUUUUUUUUUUUUUUUGAGACAAAGUCUCGCUCUGUUGCCCAGGCUAGAGUUCAGUGGUGU